GUGCUUGCUUCGCAGCACAUAUACUAAAAAUUGGAACAAUACAGAGAAGAUAGCUAUGGCACCCUGCACAAGGAGAUUGCAGUUGUGUGAGUGUAUGUGUGUGUAU